rnacentral:misc_RNA from 1 species
UAAUCUCUUUUUCCUACCUUUAUGCUUGGCAUAAAAUUUUUCCUCUCAUAUUAUUUUGUAUUUUUCCACAUUGUUGUUAGGCUAAUUUUUCAUUCUCCAUUAUUUCCCAAAGUUUUGAUCCAUUGGCAUUGUGCGGCAUUGUGCUCUAGAAUUGCCUGUAAAUGAACCUUCCCAGGUGAUUGCUUGUGAUUUGAAAUUUUUUGUUCACUUGUAUCAUGUAUUAUAGAGUAUGACAGUAAGUGGAUAUAUGCAAUGGAAUCUAUAAGAAUCUUUUACAAAUUCUAACUUCAUCCCAUGCUGUUCUCUUUCUAUUUUUUUUUGGGAACCGGUACCAUCAAAUGAGCCCUUGCCCAUUAUAGACAAGGUUAAUAGGUUUCUUUUCCUGAGGAUGUGAGAUUUUGGGCUCCAACUCUUACAAACUCUAGCCAUGAGUGUGCUAGAUUUUAUUUGAAUCUGG